UAGGGAAUCUUCGGCAAUGGGGGCAACCCUGACCGAGCAACGCCGCGUGAGUGAAGAAGGUUUUCGGAUCGUAAAGCUCUGUUGUAAGAGAAGAACGUGUGUGAGAGUGGAAAGUUCACACAGUGACGGUAACUUACCAGAAAGGGACGGCUAACUACGUGCCAGCAGCCGCGGGAAUACGUAGGUCCCGAGCGUUGUCCGGAUUUAUUGGGCGUAAAGCGAGCGCAGGCGGUUUAAUAAGUCUGAAGUUAAAGGCAGUGGCUUAACCAUUGUUCGCUUUGGAAACUGUUAAACUUGAGUGCAGAAGGGGAGAGUGGAAUUCCAUGUGUAGCGGUGAAAUGCGUAGAUAUAUGGAGGAACACCGGUGGCGAAAGCGGCUCUCUGGUCUGUAACUGACGCUGAGGCUCGAAAGCGUGGGGAGCAAACAGG
rnacentral:rRNA from 1 species